CCGAGUUCCAUCCACCCGCCACCCGCCACCCACGACCCACCUACCGAAAGGCAACGGAAUCACAUUUCUUGAAAGCUGAAUUUGUGUCAUCUCCGCUUCCUCCAUAGCGAAACUUCAUCAGGUAUUCUUGGCUGCACCUUUACGAUAAUUUGAUUCUUGAGCUCAAGAAAUCGCAUUAUUUCGGAGAAGAAAUGGUUUAUCACUCUAGCUUUGUGGAUGAGGAAGGAAUUAGAAAAGCUUGUGGGUGCCCUUUACUUCCUUUGAAAAGCCAUAUAAAGGGUCCUGCUCCAGUUUCAGAUCAAGAUAGAACUGAUAUAGUUGAUGAAGCAAUCACAUUCUUCCGUGCUAAUGUUUUCUUUAAAAACUUCGAUAUUAAGAGCCCAGCUGAUAAGCUUCUUAUUUAUUUGACUUUCUAUAUCAAUGUGGCUUUGAAGAGGCUUGAAGGAUGUAGAACAUUGGCUGAAGGGACCAAAGCAAUCAUUAAUUUGGGUCUGGAAAAGGUUCCUGUGCCUGGAGAAUCUGGAUUUCCAUUUCCUGGUCUUUUUGUGAGUCCUGAAUCUCAAAAGGAAGCAGGUGGAGUUGAUUCAUAUUCUAGUUUUAUUUUGGGUGUUACAUUCUGAGAACAUAUUGAAGUUACAUCUCUCCUAUUAUGUUUGCACCCUGCAAAUUUCUUUAGUUUGUUGGCAAAAUUUACAUGCCUUGUUUUAGAUAACCUUUGCCAUUUUAAUGAGUCAUAAGGAAAUGAACAUUGACUUCAUCUUCAAUCUGGCUUCAAAGCACCAAAAUGUAAGGGGAAGGUUGUUUGUUUUUUAAAUGAUUGCAUUAACCAACUGGACUUUCCAAGAAUUCAGAGAAUGAUCACUUUUUUGGUUUUACUGCUUGAAUGACACCAAAUUUCUUUCAAGUAACUACUUUAAACUAAUUUUGUGUGUCAAUUUCUUUGAUACUAUAGGGACUGUGAGUUCAAUUUUCUCUUCUGCUCCUUCAUUUACCUUUAAAGCAACAGGUCACCAUUAUGGCCUUCGGGUCCUGUUGCUUAUGAAUGACCCAUAUGUUGGUAACCAUCUUGUGUUAUGGACAUUAUGAUUUACUUCUCAAAACAUGAAGAUUGUGUCUUUUCCCUUCCAUAAAUAUUUUAUCUGCUUAGAAUAUAAUCUUUAUUGGGAUUGUGUUUCAUAUUUUGAAGUUCCUGUCGUACCAUCAUUUAGGAAGUCUUCUUAAGUCUGGCCAUAUUAAAUUACGAAAAUGUUCUUAGCUAUAGAUUCUGGAACCACAAUAUGACGAGUAAAUAACAUAUAAUAUUGUUGCUUUGUCUCACUCUAAUAAUUGUAAUUGAGAAUUCUUGAUGCGAGACCAUAAUUCUGAAAGGUCUGACCUAUGAAGGUCCUUGUUUUUGGCCCUUUUUGAAGGUAGUUUGAAGUUUUGUGGUUCCAUGUUAAGAGCCUACUAUUUCUACCUUUUGUGGACUAAAUUCUUUUGGAUAUUUGUGUUCUUGAAUUCUUACAUGCAGAGCUGUUUAGAAAUUAUCUGAAGCAGAUAAGGGAAGAAACAAGUGGAAGAUUAUUGAGUGUUGCGUAUAGACAUAAUGGGACUCCAAACAAAUGGUGGUUGGCUUUUGCUAAGAGGAAAUUUGUGAAUGUCAUUGCUUUAUAAGUACUUUGUUAGAGAUAUCCUGUUAGAAAAGUGGCAUGUAAUAGGAGACUAGUUAAUAUCACAACAAUUACCUGUGAAUAUUUACUGUUAUCAAAUCAUGGAGUGCAAGCAUGUCAAGCAUUAGGAAAACUAAUUUGUUUGUGUGCAUUGUUGUCUCAUAACUGCCGCAUUUGGCAUUUUAGAUGACCAUAUAUUUUUGUGCAUGAAGUUUGUAUUCUUUAUUCAUUUUUCUUGAAGGAAAAGGAGGCAUAAAAGCCUUAUGCAUGAAAAAUCAUUUGUGGGAUGUAUCUGUGUCUACCUAGGUGAAUUUGAGGAUUCAUGCCAGGAUACAUAACAUGUGCCUUGUGUUUUCAUCUUUGUUUGUAUAUCAUUUAAUGGAUAGCAUUGGGCCGUAUUGUGUUGUUUUCCUAAAUCAUAUCGUUCAUCUACAUUGUAACUGAUAUGAUACAAGGAAUUGGAGAGGGGAAGGUUUUCAUUUCUUUGCCAUUUGAAUGAGGUGUAGCUACUGCAGAUGCUCCUGUGGAAAGGGCAUGCGCGUUUGUUCAGAUGUUUCUGGGCUCCAGAUUCAUAAGAAGUUUCCCUGUGAGCUGUGAGAACCCUUUUUUUUUUCCUUUUUUGCAUCAGUAUCUGCUUGGACACCAAGACAUGUAGUCUCAGCCUAUAGUUGACAUACAAUAAAUUGAUUUCUAGUGGAAGCUUAGAGUAGAAUGUACAUGAACACUGGUUUUAACAUUCUGCGUUAAUAUUUUCAUUGUACUUGGAGGCAGGUUUUAACUAGGUCAGGCCAAGGUCAAGGAUAAACCCAGUAUUUUAGUGGUAAUUUGUAGAAAAUGUCUUAUAAUACUUUAAAUUAUUUUUAUAUUUAUCUCUAACCUGUUAUCUUCUUACAAAUGCAAACUUUGGCCUCAAAUAUCAAAUUAUGCAAACAAGCAGCAAGAUAUUUUCAUUGUAAUUUUUUUUUAUACAAAUGACUUUAAUUGAACUUAAAUUUGAGAUCUCAUAGUUUUGAA
rnacentral:misc_RNA from 1 species